rnacentral:rRNA from 1 species
AGAGUUUGAUCCUGGCUCAGAUUGAACGCUGGCGGCAUGCCUAACACAUGCAAGUCGAACGGCAGCACGGGGGCAACCCUGGUGGCGAGUGGCGGACGGGUGAGGAAUGCAUAGGAAUCUGCCCAGUUGUGGGGGAUAACGUAGGGAAACUUACGCUAAUACCGCAUACGACCUACGGGUGAAAGAGGGGGACCUUCGGGCCUCUCGCGAUUGGAUGAGCCUAUGCCGGAUUAGCUAGUUGGCGGGGUAAGAGCCCACCAAGGCGACGAUCCGUAGCUGGUCUGAGAGGAUGAUCAGCCACACUGGAACUGAGACACGGUCCAGACUCCUACGGGAGGCAGCAGUGGGGAAUAUUGGACAAUGGGCGCAAGCCUGAUCCAGCAAUGCCGCGUGUGUGAAGAAGGCCUUCGGGUUGUAAAGCACUUUUGUUUGGGAAGAAAUCCGGUUGGUUAAUACCUGAUCGGGAUGACGGUACCAAAAGAAUAAGCACCGGCUAACUUCGUGCCAGCAGCCGCGGUAAUACGAGGGGUGCAAGCGUUAAUCGGAAUUACUGGGCGUAAAGCGUGCGUAGGGUUGGUUUGUUAAGUCAGAUGUGAAAGCCCUGGGCUCAACCUGGGAACUGCAUUUGAUACUGGCAGGCUAGAGUGCGGUAAAAGGGGGGGGUGGAACUUCCCGGGGGUAGCGGGUGAAAUGGCGUAAAAGAAUCGGGGAAGGAACCUUCGUGGGCGGAAGGCCGGCCCACCUGGAACCAGCAACUGACCACUGAAGCACGAAAGCGGUGGAGAAGCAAACAGGAUUAGAUACCCUGUAGUCCACGCCCUAACGAUGCGAAGCUGAUCGUCGUCUCAAGCUGGGAAGAAUCGGUGUCGAGCUACGCGUAGUCGCCGGCCUGAGAGUACCGGUCGCAGACUGAACCGAUUACUGACGGGGUCCGCAGCGAGUGACAAUAUCUGUUGAAUCUAAGCU